AAGCUACACUCUGUGUCAAAAGUUGGAAACAACAAUGAUUUGGCUCAAUUUAAGCUUGCUAAAGUAAACUACGGUCUGACCUAAUUCAGCACUCUCUUCGCCAAUGGGAUUUGCUAUAAUGCAGACUGUAACAUA